UAGGGAAUUUUCGGCAAUGGGGGAAACCCUGACCGAGCAACGCCGCGUGAAUGAAGAAGUACUUCGGUAUGUAAAGUUCUUUUAUCAGGGAAGAAUGGCGCGUGGAAAAGCGCGAGUGACGGUACCUGAUGAAUAAGCCCCGGCUAACUAUGUGCCAGCAGCCGCGGUAAUACAUAGGGGGCAAGCGUUAUCCGGAAUUAUUGGGCGUAAAGGGUGCGUAGGCGGUCAUUUAAGUCUUUGGUGUAAGUGCAGUGCUUAACGCUGUGAUGCUAAAGAAACUGGAUGACUUGAGUGAGAUAGAGGCAAGUGGAAUUCCAUGUGUAGCGGUAAAAUGCGUAAAUAUAUGGAGGAACACCAGUGGCGAAGGCGGCUUGCUGGGUCUAUACUGACGCUGAGGCAC
rnacentral:rRNA from 1 species